rnacentral:misc_RNA from 1 species
GAUCAUUACUGAUUUGCUUAAUUGCACCACAUGUGUUUUUCUUUGAAACAAACUUGCUUUGGCGGUGGGCCCAGCCUGCCGCCAGAGGUCUAAACUUACAACCAAUUUUUUAUCAACUUGUCACACCAGAUUAUUACUAAUAGUCAAAACUUUCAACAACGGAUCUCUUGGUUCUCGCAUCGAUGAAGAACGCAGCGAAAUGCGAUACGUAAUAUGAAUUGCAGAUAUUCGUGAAUCAUCGAAUCUUUGAACGCACAUUGCGCCCUCUGGUAUUCCGGAGGGCAUGCCUGUUUGAGCGUCGUUUCUCCCUCAAACCGCUGGGUUUGGUGUUGAGCAAUACGACUUGGGUUUGCUUGAAAGACGGUAGUGGUAAGGCGGGAUCGCUUUGACAAUGGCUUAGGUCUAACCAAAAACAUUGCUUGCGGCGGUAACGUCUACCACGUAUAUCUUCAAACUU